rnacentral:lncRNA from 1 species
GCAGUUCAAACUUCACAUAAUCUGGAUGAGUUCCAACUAAACUAAACAGCAGGUGAUCCUAUCAAAACAAAAUAUUAUUCCGACUUUCAAGAAAUUAGUUUUCUCGUCUGUUCAACAACAAAACAAUUCCAAAUAAUUAUUACACAUAAUUGUUAGCUGGGUAGGUACAUUUGUUUUUGCCAUAUAAGCAAGUGAGAAAAAUCAAGCAAGCCUUCAGCAAUCUCCAUGAAGCUGUGAUAAAGUUCUGAGGCUUAGAGAGCAUAACCAUAUGGGCUGAGCAUCCACUGCUGUGUUUCUCUUCUCAAAACCUCAUCUUCAUGGCUAAUCACAAAUGCUCGAAUGGACAGGUCUUACCAACUUGGUUGCCAGAGUUAAAUCCUGCCAACACUAGUGUCCGCAACUAAAAUAUCUAGACAAUCCUUGUUUGCAAGAGAACUUCCGCAAAGCAGACAUUUUACGGAUUAUAAAGUAAAUGCCUAGGAAAGUUUAGGUUGUUUUGAUUUCCCAGUAUUUCCUAUGAUAACGACAAACUUUUCUUGUAUGUUUAAGCUGUAUUGUAAAAAUUUAACAAGCAAAGCCUUAAGUAGGUGUAGAGAAAGAAGAUGAUCUGUUGGGAAUUAAUAAUAAGCAUCUCACCUCAGGUGAACAGAUGAUCUGAUACAUGUUGGCUGACAGGAAAUUUGGGCCAAACCUAAAGGAAGUAGGUGGCUUUGCUACCCUAUUUUCAUACCCACACUAUUUGUCCAUUUCAUUGCGUGGUGGUGGUUGUCUGCGCCUGGCCUGCAAUUUUUACAAGAAAAAUGGUGGUUGGCCUGCAAUUUUCACAAAAAAAAAA